AGACUUUAUAACAUAACACUUACCACACCUUUGCAUUUCAAUCAUUAAACAACAUAUUUUCCUCAUUUACCAGCCUACUAGUAUCCAUGGGGAUCCAUAGGGGGUCCCUGCUACCCGUGAACUAUUAAUAUUUCAACCUGAUUCCAGGGCCGUCCCCAUACCCCGUCCGGUAUGGGCGCCUAAACCAUGAACUUCAAUACUCCGUCCGGUAUGUGGGUAAAACGGGCCGUCCUCAUUCCCCGUUCGGUAUGGGCGCCAAAACACAUAAGAUCUCCAUACCCCGU
rnacentral:lncRNA from 1 species